rnacentral:rRNA from 1 species
GACGAACGCUGGCGGUGUGCUUAACACAUGCAAGUCGUGCGACGUACCAGACUUCGGUCUGGGGCAAAGCGGCGAACGGUGAGUAACACGUGGGUAAUCUGCCCCGAUGACUGGGACAACCCGAGGAAACUCGGGCUAAUACCGGAUGUGGUGCCUGGACUCAAGUCCGGUCACUAAAGGUAGCUUCGGCUUCCGCAUUGGGAGGGGCCCGCGGCCCAUUAGCUUGUUGGUGGGGUCAAGGCCUACCAAGGCAACGAUGGGUAGCUGGUCUGAGAGGACGAUCAGCCACACUGGGACUGAGACACGGCCCAGACUCCUACGGGAGGCAGCAGUGGGGAAUCUUGCGCAAUGCGCGAAAGCGUGACGCAGCAACACUGCGUGAGGGAAGACGGCCUUAGGGUUGUAAACCUCUUUCAGAUGGGACGAAGGUGAUGCGGUGAAUAGCCGAUGUCAUUGACGGUACCGUCAGAAGAAGCUCCGGCUAACUACGUGCCAGCAGCCGCGGUAA